rnacentral:rRNA from 1 species
AGCGUAGACGGGUGGACAAGUCUGAUGUGAAAGGCUGGGGCUCAACCCCGGGACUGCAUUGGAAACUGCCCGUCUUGAGUGCCGGAGAGGUAAGCGGAAUUCCUAGUGUAGCGGUGAAAUGCGUAGAUAUUAGGAGGAACACCAGUUGCGAAGGCGGCUCUCUGGACUGUAACUGACACUGAGGCACGAAAGCGUGGGGAGCAAACA